UACGGAGGGUGCAAGCGUUAUCCGGAUUCAUUGGGUUUAAAGGUGGCGUAGGCGGACUGAUAAGUCAGCGGUGAAAUCUCUCGGCUCACCGAGAAACUGCCGUUGAUACUGUUAGUCUUGAAUGCAGAUGAUGUGGGCGGAAUAUGACAUGUAGUGGUGAAAUACUUAGAUAUGUCAUAGAACACCGAUUGCGAAGGCAGCUCACAAAACUGUGAUUGACGCUGGAUGCACGAAAGCGUGGGGAUCAAACAGG
rnacentral:rRNA from 1 species